CAGCAGCCACGGUAAUACGUAGGUGGCAAGCGUUGUCCGGAAUUAUUGGGCGUAAAGGGCUCGCAGGCGGUUUCUUAAGUCUGAUGUGAAAGCCCCCGGCUCAACCGGGGAGGGUCAUUGGAAACUGGGAAACUUGAGUGCAGAAGAGGAGAGUGGAAUUCCACGUGUAGCGGUGAAAUGCGUAGAGAUGUGGAGGAACACCAGUGGCGAAGGCGACUCUCUGGUCUGUAACUGACGCCGAGGAGCGAAAGCGUGGGGAGCGAACAGGAUUAGAUACCCCUGUAGUCCCUGUCCUUAUACA
rnacentral:rRNA from 1 species